UGGGGAAUUUUGCGCAAUGGGCGGAAGCCUGACGCAGCAACGCCGCGUGGAGGAUGAAGGUCUUUGGAUUGUAAACUCCUGUCAGCAGGGAAAAAGCGAGUCGACCUCAUACGUCGGUGAGUUGAUUGUACCUGCAGAGGAAGCCACGGCUAACUCUGUGCCAGCAGCCGCGGUAAUACAGAGGGGGCGAGCGUUAUUCGGAAUUAUUGGGCGUAAAGGGCGCGUAGGCGGCUUUGCAAGUGACGGGUGAAAGCCCUCGGCUUAACCGAGGAACUGCCUGUCAGACUGUGAGGCUUGAGACCGGGAGAGGUGAGUGGAAUUCCCAGUGUAGCGGUGAAAUGCGUAGAUAUUGGGAGGAACACCAGUGGCGAAGGCGGCUCACUGGACCGGAACUGACGCUGAGGCGCGAAAGCGUGGGGAGCAAA
rnacentral:rRNA from 1 species